GAUGAACGCUGGCGGCGUGCCUAAUACAUGCAAGUCGAACGCUGGAAAUCUAGCUUGCUAGAUUGAAGGAGUGGCGAACGGGUGAGUAAUACAUAAGCAACCUACCCACGAAGACUGGGAUAAUCUCUGGAAACGGGGACUAAUACCGGAUAGGUAAUCGGAAGGCAUCUUCUGAUUAUUAAAGGUUAAAACCACUGGUGGAUGGGCUUAUGGCGCAUUAGUUAGUUGGUGAGGUAACGGCCCACCAAGACGAUGAUGCGUAGCCGGCCUGAGAGGGUGAACGGCCACAUUGGGACUGAGACACGGCCCAGACUCCUACGGGAGGCAGCAGUAGGGAAUUUUCGGCAAUGGGGGAAACCCUGACCGAGCAACGCCGCGUGAGUGAUGACGGCCUUCGGGUUGUAAAGCUCUGUUGUAAGGGAAGAACGGUAGAUAGAGAAUAUCUAAAUGACGGUACCUUACCAGAAAGCCACGGCUAACUACGU
rnacentral:rRNA from 1 species